rnacentral:rRNA from 1 species
AGAGAGUAAACAGUACGUGAAACCGCAUGCAGGUAAACGGGUGGCGUCAAGCUGUACGCCCAGAGGAUUCAGCCGGUUAGAGUGUAGUUACACGCUUGCGUGUCGAACGGCCAGUGUAAGAUUGGGUAGUCUACUGGAAGACAGUGGGCCCUGCCGCAAGGUGGGGAUGUGUGUACCGGGUGGAAGCCGGAGCACGCUAUCCGUCUAUUGGGCCAUCUAGCCGGUGCACUUUCUCUGUGGUGGACACCACGACCGGUGGAACUGCCAGUCUGCUAUGUUCAAGUCGUAUUCGGUUGGUCCUUGUGGCCUACUGGGUGCGAUCACGGGCAAACUCGGUGAACGGCGUUGAUGUGCUCUCGGGCGUGUCUUCGUGUUAUCGGUAACCGGUUGUCUUAACGGGCUUGCCUUACGAUUGUUCUAGCCGUCGUAGGGUGGUCUGGUGGAGCAUAGUGGUAAGAAUAACUGUGCAGGGCACCGGAGUUCUCGGCAUCAAAUGCAGCCGGCAUGCACGCUGGAAGUGUUAAUGUGGGUGCCCGCGUUGCCUGCCUGUAGUGGGGGUCUGAUUGUCGUGUUGCCUGCGAAAAGUAGGUUCGGCAGUGGCUCUCCUCAGGAUGGGUUGACGAUGGGUGCUUACAGUGUCGGUUGUAGUGUGCCAAACAGUCUGUGGUGUAGUGGUAGACGAGCUACCCGACCCGUCUUGAAACACGGACCAAG